AGAGUUUGAUCCUGGCUCAGGACGAACGCUGGCGGUAGGCUUAACACAUGCAAGUCGUACGAGAAAGCGCCUUCGGGCGUGAGUAAAGUGGCGAACGGGUGAGUAACGCGUAGACAACCUGCCUUCAAGUGAGGAAUAACUACGGGAAACCGUAGCUAAUACCACAUGCUGUCGUGCCCCCGCAUGGGGGUGCGAUCAAAGCGUAAGCGCUUGAGGAUGGGUCUGCGUCGGAUUAGCUAGUUGGUGAGGUAACGGCUCACCAAGGCAACGAUCCGUAGCGGGUCUGAGAGGAUGAUCCGCCACACUGGCACUGAGACACGGGCCAGACUCCUACGGGAGGCAGCAGUGGGGAAUCUUGCGCAAUGGGCGAAAGCCUGACGCAGCCAUACCGCGUGGAGGAAGACACCCCUACGGGGCGUAAACUCCUUUUCUGUCGGAAGAAUGCCUUGGUCGCCAAGGACUGACGGUACGACAGGAAUAAGCACCGGCUAACUCCGUGCCAGCAGCCGCGGUAAUACGGAGGGUGCAAGCGUUGUCCGAAAUUACUGGGUGUAAAGGGUGUGUAGGCGGGGCAGCAAGUCAGAGGUGAAAGCCCACGGCUCAACCGUGGAAGUGCCUUUGAAACUGCUGUUCUUGAGUCCCGGAGAGGUCGUUGGAAUUCGUGGUGUAGCGGUGAAAUGCGUAGAUAUCACGAGGAACACCAGU
rnacentral:rRNA from 1 species